GGAGAAGGGGUCAUCGGUGGGGGUGGAAGAGUCCUUGCCGAAGAAGUAGGCUCGGAGACGGAGACGGCGGAAGAAAAGUUCCGCAUCGUGGCGAACACGGAACUCGCUGAGGUGUGGGCGAAGCGGGACAAAGGAAUUCACAAUGAAACAAGGAAAUGCAAUGAAAACUUACACACAAAUACUGUAGUAAUACACAAAUACUACAAAACCAAUGUGCAAAAGAAGACUGUCAUGGUCAGGUCCGUGAAGUCCACAUUCCGGUUCACGGUCCAGUCCAUCGAUCCAUAAUCCAGGAUUUCCGGUUUUCCCUUGUUCUGUUGGUGCCUUAAUUGAGGCACAUGAUUCUCAUUUUGAGCUGGCUACAUAAAUAGCUCCUGGGUUCAGCUUCAUUGGCUGGACUGUUCCCUUCCCUUCACCUUCCUCCUGAAGCCUUGCCUGCAACCUUUGCCUAAAGCCUUGCCCUGAAGAGUUGCCUGCAACCUUGCCUGCAUCCUCGCCUGUAUCGCUGUCAAGUUCUACCGCCGGAGCAAGACCGGAGCCUUGCUGUGUCUAGAUAAGGAACUUUCUGUCGUUGUUUGGAACUGUCUCUGCGUCCGCGCCUUCGCUAGGACUCACUACCUCAAGAAAAUAACAUCCAGCAUCAAGGAUACCAAUCAUCCAGUCCGUGACAUCUUCUUGCAGCUACAAUUGGGCAGGAGAUAGAGAAGACUGAAGUCUCACAAGACCAGUUUCAAGAACAGCUACUUCCCUUCAACAAUUUGAUUCAUGUACAAACCAGUACAACCCUAAUUACUACAGCACCAUGACCAGUUUGAUAACUUUACACUAAAAUGGACUUGUUUUUGUUUUAUACUUCUAAUUGUGUUCUUUCUUGUAAAACAUGUGAUUAAUUAAUGUUUUUCUUUUGAAUGCUGCUUAUGUGAUGGGCGCGUGGCCAAGUGGUUAAGGUAUUGGACUGGUGACCUGAAGGUCGUGAGUUCGAGCCCCAGCCGAGGCAGCGUGUUGUGUCCUUGAGCAAGGCACUUAAUCACACAUUGCUCUGCGACGACACCGGUGCCAAGCUGUCUGGGUCCUAAUGCCCUUCCCUUGGACAACAUUAGUGUCGUGGAGGGGGGAGACUUGCAGCAUGGGCAACUGCUGGUCUUCCAUACAAACUUGCCCAGGCCUGCGCCCUGGAGAGUGAAGACUUUCCAGGUGCGGAUCCAUGGUCUCGCAAGACUAACAGAUGUGAUGGAACGCACCUGUGAUGCUGCUGCAAUUAAGUUUUCAUUGAACCUGUGCAUACUUGUACUUGUGUAAUUGACUUUGUUAUCUCCUUGGCUCUUCAGACAACUCUGGAACAUCUGGACAGCAAAGAUACAUACAACAGGAUGCUCUUUAUCAAUUACAGCUCAGCAUUUAACACCAUCAUCCCCUCAAAACUAAUCAGUAAAUUCCAGGACCUGGGCCUCAAUCCCCCCUUGUGCUAUUGGAUUCCAUAUUUCCUCACUUGCAGAUCCUAAUCAGUUUGGAUUGGCAAAAACAUCUCCUCCACAAUCUCCAACAGCACAAGAGCACCACUAGGAUGUGUGCUUAGCUCCCUGCUCUACUCGUUUUACACCUGUGACUGCAUGGCUACGAAACAGCUCCAACACCAUAUAUAAGUCUGCUGAUGAUACCACUGUUGUGGGCUGUAUCAAAGUGGGCAAUCAAUCAGCAGACAGGAGAGAGAAUGAAAAUUCGGCUGAGUGGUGUAAUAACAACAACCUCUCACUCAAUGUCAAUAAGACCAAGGAACUGAUUAUAGACUUCAGGGGAGGAAAACCAGAGGUCCAUGAGCCAGUAGUAAUCAGAGGAUCAGAGGUGAAGAAGAUCAAAAUGUCAUGGUCCGGACCGUGAAGUCCGCAUUCCGGUUCAUGGUCCGGUCCAUUGAUCCAUAUUCCAGGUUUUCCAAUUUCCCUUGUCCUGUUGUGUGCCUUAAUUGAGGCAUAUUAUUCUGAUUUUGGGCUGGCUACAUAAACAACUCCUGGGUUCAGCUUCAGUUGUUGGACUGUUCCCUCCCCUUCCCUUUGCUUCUGAAGCCUUGCCUGCUAUCUUUGCCUGUGUCCUUGCCUGUAAUGCCGUCAGGUUCAACAGCCAGGGCAAGACUGGGGCCUUGCUGUGUCUAGAUAUGGAACUGUCUUUCAUUGUUUGGAACUGUCUUUCAUUGUUUGGAACUGUCUCUUUGUGUCCUCGCCUUUGCUAGGUAGGUCCGGCUGUUUGCUGAUACCUUGAAUUGGGAACUGUCUCUGUGUCCAUGCCUUCGCUAGGUAGGUCUGGCUGUUUGCUGCUACCUUGUGUUGGAAACUGUCUCUCUGUCCAUGCCUUUGCUAGGUAGGUCCAGCUAUUUGCCGCUACCUUGUGUUGGGAACCGUCUCUUUGUGCCCUCGUCUCCGCUGGGUAUGUCCGGCCGUUUGCCGCCACCUUGAGUGGAGAUCUGUCUCUCAGUGUCCUGUGUGUGAGUCCUGGCCCUACGCUCUGCUCCCUAGGAGGGGUCUUGACACUGUGUUGAGCCCUGGCCACAAGUCCUGUUCCCAAGGAGGGGACCCGGCUCUGUGUUCUGCGUUCCUGUCCUCUCAGGACCAAGGCAAGGAUUCGUGUUCUCGUCCUGUCCAUGUGCCUCGCCCAGCCUGGUGCUGGGGUACCCUCGUCCUGUCCAGGAGUCUCAUGUCCAGUCCUGUAGCCAUGUCCAGUCCUGUAACCAUGCCAUGUCCAGUCCUGUUACCUUGCCACGUCUUCUCCUUGCCUGGAUCUGGAGUCCGAGCCUGAGUCAAGACCCAGGUUCCGGGUUCCUGUCCAGUCUCUGGUUUUCCCUUGUCCUAUUGUGUGUCUUAAUUGAUGCAUAUGAUUCUGAUUUUUGUGCUGGCUACAUAAAUAGCUCCUGGGUUCAGCUUCAUUUGCUGGACUGUUCCCUCCCCUUCCCCUUCCUUCUGAAGCCUCGCCUGCUACCUUCGCCUGUGUCCUCAUCUGUAACGCCAUCAGGUUCAACCGCCAUCCUUGCUGUGUCUGGAUAAGGAACUGUCUUUAGUUGUUUGGAACAGUCUCUUUGUGUCCUUGCCUUCGCUAGGUAGGUCUGGCUGUUUGCUGCUACCUUGAGUGGAGAUCUGUCUCUCAGUGUUCUGUGUAUGAGUCUCAGCCCUACAUCCUGCUCCCUAGGAGGGGUCCUGACUCUGUGUUGAGCCCCGGCCCCAAGUCCUGUUCCCAAGGAGGGGUCCCUGCUCUUUCUGCGUUCCUGUCCUCCCCCGUCCAAGGCUCUGCGUUCUUGUCCAUGUGCCUCGCUCAGCCUGGUGCUGGGGUUCCCUCGUCAUGUCCAGGAGUCUCACGUCCAGUCCUGUAGCCACGUCUUGUCCGAGCCUGCAUCCAGAGUCCGAGCCCAAGUCUAGACCCAGGUUCCAGGUCCCUGUCCAGUCUCUGGCUCGGAGUCCUUGACCAGGUUCCAAGUUCCUAGUUCCUUGUCCAGGUCCUGCUUUCCUAGUCUAGUCCUAGCCCAGGCCCUGUAUUCUAGUCUCAUCCAGGGCCUGUGUCUUGUCCAGUGUCGUUUCUUCCUUGCUUUCCUGACACACCUAGUCCUGUUCCUAGUACUUCAGUGUCUGUAUCUUGCAUUUGGGUCCGCUCCCAGCACCCCUGUUAUGACACAGAAACUUUAAAUCCCUGGGUGUCACAAUCUCAGAAGACUUGUCCUGGACCCAUCAUAUAAAUAUAAUUGUGAAGAAUGCACAAGAGCGCCUUGACUUCCUCAGGAGUCUGUGGAGAUUCGGUACGACAUCAAAAACCUUGGCAAACUUCCAUAGAUGUGCGGCGCAGAGUGUGCUGACUGGCUGCGUUACAGCCUGGUAUGGGAACACCAACGCCUUUGUGCGGAAAAUCCCAUAACAAGUAGUGGACUUGCCCCAGUACAUCACAGGUAAAACCCUCCCAAUAAUUGAGCACACCUAUAUAAAACAUUGCCGUAGAAAAGCAGCAUCCAUCAUCAAAAUUCCUCACCAUCCAGGCCAUGCUCUUUUCUCACUGCUGCCAUCAGGUACAAGGUACAAGUGUCUCAGGACUCACACCACCAGGUUCAAGAACAGUUACUACCCCUCAGCCAUCAGGCUCUUGAACAAAAGGGGAUAAUUAUGGUCAUCUAAGGACUCUUUUAUCGUUAUUUCAUGCUUGUUAUUUACUGCUAUUUACUUACAUUGAUAUUUGCACAGGUUGUUGUCUACUGAUCCCCUUUACAGUUACUGUUCUAUUGAUUUGCUAAGUUACUGUUCUAUUGAUUUGCUUAAGCCACAGGAAACAGUUGAGGCCAGUUCAUCGGCUAUAUUUAAGAGGGAGUUAGGUAUGGCCCUUGUGGCUAAAGGGAUCAGGGGGUAUGGAGGGAAGGCUGG